rnacentral:rRNA from 1 species
AUUGAACGCUGGCGGCAGGCCUAACACAUGCAAGUCGAACGGUAACAGGAAACAGCUUGCUGUUUCGCUCGCCAGUGGGGGAAGGAAGAGCUAUGACUCGGGCACUGCGUGAUGGAGAAGGUUCACAACUGGGAACGGUAGCCAACUCCGCCUUAAGUCGCAAACCCGCAGAGGUGGGGCCUCCAGCCUCUCGCCAUUGGUUGUGCCCAGCUGGCAUAUGCGUGUGGGUGAGGUAACGCGUCACGAAGGCGAUGAUCCGUUGCUGGUCUGAGAGGAUGAUGAGCCACACUGGAACUGUGAGACGGGCCAGACUCCUACGGGAGGCAGCAGUGGAGAAUAUUGCACAAAGGGCGAAAGCCUGAUACAGCCAUGCCGCGUUUAUGAAGAAGGCCUUCGGGUUGUAAAGUACUUUCAGUGGGGAGGAAGGGAAUUAAGUGAAUACCUUGCCUUAUUGACGUUACCCGCAGAAAAAGCACCGGCUAACUUCGUG